UGAUUGUCCGAACGCAAUUCUUGUGCUACAUGUUAACCAAACCAAGAAUUGUGUCUGGGCAUCUGA
rnacentral:pre_miRNA from 1 species